UACGCAGGGAGCUAGCGUUGUUCGGAAUCACUGGGCGUAAAGCGCACGUAGGCGGAUGUGUCAGUCAGGGGUGAAAUCCCGGAGCUCAACUUCGGAACUGCCCUUGAUACAGCACGUCUUGAGUCCGGAAGAGGUGGGUGGAAUUCCUAGUGUAGAGGUGAAAUUCGUAGAUAUUAGGAAGAACACCGGUGGCGAAGGCGGCCCACUGGUCCGGUACUGACGCUGAGGUGCGAAAGCGUGGGGAGCAAACAGG
rnacentral:rRNA from 1 species